ACUAGGUGUGUUUGAAAAGAGAGAGAACCAGGAAGCCCAGCAAAAAACAGACGCUCAGACCCUGCUUUAGUCCUUCAACAUAGUUUGUGAUGAAAAUGAGACAAAAUUAAGAUUCAGAGAAAGCAGAAGUUAUGGAGACAAAGGUCCCUCCCUGGCCUUUUCCUCUUUGAGCUUUGGAGAAGAAAAAUGUUAGGGAACCAGCAGCCCUCCUGCUUUAUCAACUUUCAUUUUCACGGGACCAUCAAAAAACCAAUCAAAUAGAAGAAGGAGGAGGAGGAGGAAGAAGGAGAAGAAGGAGAAGUGGGAGAAGGUGGAGGAGGAGAAGGAGGAAGAAAAGAGAGACAUUGAAAACUGCCAUGGCAACCAGAAUCCAAGGUACCAAGUCAGAAAGAAUCCAAGUCAGAAAAUCCAAGUCAGAAAGAAGAGAACUUCAGAAAGAUGCCCAUGGUACUGCUUGGCAAGUAAAGAUACGAAACACAGAGGUUUAAGGCCUGUACAUUUUUUGACAUAAGGCCCCAAAUCCCUGAUAACAACUAAGAAAAGCCAGAUCCCAAACACGUUCCAGGACAUUUGCUUCAAACAAACCUCGGCUGAUACUGGCAUCAAUAGUUUUAGCUUCGCUAAUUUAUGGAAUAACACCUGUUGUUCACCUGACACUCACCUCAAUUUGACCCUACCCUGGAUUCCUGAAGAAACAUGUAUCCUAAAUCCUUUUCUAAUAUAACCCCCUAGCCCAAAACAACGACAAAACUCAUUCUCCCUUCCUUUCCGAGUCUCCCAGACACUCUGCUAUUCUUUGUCACUCACGCUAUUCAAUAAACUCUUC